rnacentral:rRNA from 1 species
AGGAUUAACGCUGGCGGUAUGCCUAACACAUGCAAGUCGAACGAGCUCUUCGGAGCUAGUGGCGGACGGGUGAGUAACACGUUGGAACCUACCCCAAAGUGGGGAAUAACUCCGAGAAAUCGGAGCUAAUACCCCAUAGUCUCCAGUUUAUCUGGAGUAAAGCUUUCGCGCUUUGGGAAGGGCCUGCGUAGCAUUAGCUUGUUGGUGAGGUAAAAGCUCACCAAGGCUGCGAUGCUUAGCUGGAUCGAGAGGUUGACCAGCCACACUGGGACUGAGAUACGGCCCAGACUCCUACGGGAGGCAGCAGUGAGGAAUCUUCCACAAUGGGCGCAAGCCUGAUGGAGCAAUACCGCGUGCAGGAAGACGCUUUUCGGAGUGUAAACUGCUUUUAUUUGGAUGAUUAUGACAGUACCAAAUGAAUAAGGAUCGGCUAACUACGUGCCAGCAGCCGC